UCACUUCCUCAGUGCAGAUACUAAACUUGGAGUGAUAGAGAAGGUCACAGAAGGCCCCUGUGCAAGGAUGUCACGUAAAUUCAUAUAGCGUUCUGUAUUUUU